GAUGAACGCUGGCGGCGUGCCUAAUACAUGCAAGUCGAGCGAACAGAUGAGGAGCUUGCUCCUCUGACGUUAGCGGCGGACGGGUGAGUAACACGUGGAUAACCUACCUAUAAGACUGGGAUAACUUCGGGAAACCGGAGCUAAUACCGGAUAAUAUAUUGAACCGCAUGGUUCAAUAGUGAAAGACGGUUUUGCUGGCACUUAUAGAUGGAUCCGCGCCGCAUUAGCUAGUUGGUAAGGUAACGGCCUACCAAGGCAACGAUGCGUAGCCGACCUGAGAGAGUGAUAGGCCACACUGGAACGGAGACACGGUCCAGACUCCUACGGGAGGCAGCAGUAGGGAAUCUUCCGCAAUGGGCGAAAGCCUGACGGAGCAACGCCGCGUGAGUGAUGAAGGUCUUCGGAUCGUAAAACUCUGUUAUUAGGGAAGAACAAAUGUGUAAGUAACUAUGCACGUCUUGACGGUACCUAAUCAGAAAGCCACGGCUAACUACGUG
rnacentral:rRNA from 1 species